rnacentral:rRNA from 1 species
AGUUCCAGCCUUACGGGGCGCAGCAGGCGCGAAACCUCCGCAAUGUGAGAAAUCGCGACGGGGGAACCCCAAGUGCCAUUCUUAACGGGAUGGCUUUUCUUGAGUGUAAAAAGUUCUUGGAAUAAGAGCUGGGCAAGACCGGUGCCAGCCGCCGCGGUAACACCGGCAGCUCUAGUGGUAGCCAUUUUUAUUGGGCCUAAAGCGUUCGUAGCCGGUUUAAUAAGUCUCUGGUGAAAUCCCGCAGCUUAACUGUGGGAAUUGCUGGAGAUACUAUUAGACUUGAGGUCGGGAGAGGUUAGAGGUACUCCCAGGGUAGGGGUGAAAUCCUGUAAUCCUGGGAGGACCACCUGUGGCGAAGGCGUCUAACUGGAACGAACCUGACGGUGAGGGACGAAAGCUAGGGGCGCGAACCGGAUUAGAUACCCGGGUAGUCCUAGCCGUAAACGAUGCGGACUUGGUGUUAGGAUGGCUUCGAGCCGCCCUAGUGCCGAAGGGAAGCUGUUAAGUCCGUCGCCUGGGAAGUACGGUCGCAAGACUGAAACUUAAAGGAAUUGGCGGGGGAA